ACACAGAUGGUGGAUGAAGGGUGCGCAUACAAAAGACCAUAAACCUGUGGCAGCAGCUGGAGACCGAGCCCGCUGAUUAAUUCAGGUCUGUGCAGUCCCCUCUUACUCAAAGACGUCUCUGUUCUCUCUCAUACCUCCCAUCCAUUCUCUUUGUCCCGGGGCUUCCGUCUCCACUUUAUCCUGUUUUCCCUGGACUGGUCCCCCGUCAGUGCGCAGCUGUUGUUGGCACUCCCACAUCUGCUUGUCUCAGCUCGGCAGCCAUGUAGACGACGCUCAGCCGCGGCUGGUGUAAGUGCGUAUAGCGCGUUGGUCCAGAGGGCGGGCAGCCUUCUACUGCGGGCUAACCACCGCACACACACAAGGGAUGGAUGUGCAGGGUCCGCAGCGCCUUCAGCAUGGAAGAAGAAGAAGAAGAUGAAGAAGAAGAUGAUCUUUUUGCGUCGCCUGAUGCUGCGGGACAGGUGCAUCCAUUGUGGAACCUGGAGAUCACCGAUAACAUUGUGGCCAGUGUUGCUGGAUUCAUCUACAGUCAGGACACUGGGAGGAUCCAAAUGGGAACCAACAGCAGGACAGGUUAUGUGUACAGGCUGGAUUAUAUUCAUUAAAAACACAAGCGAGGAUAGUUUUAAUGGCACACAAUAUCAGAUGUAGAAUUCAGUAGCAUUAGUCAGUCAGUGAGAUAACUGAUCCUGUAAUUUAUAUCUGUUGGCAGUAUGUGUACUCAUUUGUCUUAAUAAAAAGCAGCAAAGAUAAACAAUAAAACGAAAGAACAAGUAAUCCCUGGGGUAUUUUAGGAGGACAGUUGGGUUGCGUCCCACUUUUCUGCUGCUUUGUUUUGUGUAUUCCUCUCCAGUUACACUGAUGAAAGAGCAGACCAGGACUCGCUCUGGACCUCACGAGCGGAAUGGCUUCAUCACCCUCCUCUGUGCUGCCUCGCAGACUGUGAUCGAUGCAUGGUGCCAUCACUGAUGUCCAGACCCUCAGAAGGAGAGGAUCCAUGUCCAAGUGAAUACCUACUGAGAGAUGACUUCUGCUGCUUUUGUGUAUCAGUGAAAAGGGCUUUGAAGAGUUCAAAAUGCCACUGCUGUUAACAUGAUCAGAAUUUCCAGGAAAGCAUUUAAUGGCUGGUGUUUUCAGUCCAAAAUAAUUUGGUGCAGCUUUCCUUCCUGUUUCAAAUGUGCAGAUUUUCUUGGCUGUGAGUAAUACUAAUAUAGCUUCAUCGACCCCCACUAUCAUGAGUUUUUUGGCUGAUCAAAAACACAGACACUGCAGCCAUUAAACACCUCUUACGCUUGUUUUUUCUUCAGCUGCGUGUGCAGUGACCUCUUCGCUCCAUUACCUUGGUUACUCUGUCUAACUCUUUGCCCACUAUUCUCUGUUUAAGAUACUUUAAAGUAACCAGAAAAUGAGUUUUAACAUGUGUUAACUUCUCACCCAGGCUUAAAUGUAUCAGUGCCAGGUCCAGAACUGGAAAGCUAUGGUAUUUUAAGCCUGUAACAAAGUGAGUGAGAAUGACUAGUUUUCUCACAUUUUGACAAUGUGUAAUUCACACAGUAUGUUCUCUGUUUAUCUUGAAACUUCUUAUUUUAGGUGUGAUACCAACUUAUUUUAAUGUACUACAAUGUGUACUCUGUACUCUUUUUUACUGUAGUGUGUGAGCAGGUGUGUGUCAGUGUGAGUGCAUGUGUUUGUGUGCAUGUGCUCUAUUUGUGUGUGUGUAUUUGUUCCUGUAUGCGUGCAUGUGUCUGUAUGAUGAAACACUUUUGUAAUGGGCCUGAAGCUACUAGCUGCUUUUCAGUGGUUUUCUCCUUGCUGCACAGAUUUGAAAUGCCUGAAUCUCUUCUUUUAGCACACUGGGUGUACCAGACAAAGGAUUCAAAAAUAUUUACAAAUGAUUCUUAGCAUUUGUUAAGACCUCAUUGAAGUACCAGUUAGGUGGGGGUUCGUUUCCAGCUUCAUUCUUGUGAUUAUCUAAAUCACAAGAAUGAAGCUGGAAACGAAUGGUGUGUAGUUUUCUAAACGAUGCCUGCUGGCAUUAAUUAAACUGUUCAGAUGCCUACUGCCCCAUAAUUUGAUACUUCAGCAAAUUACGGCAAAUGCUAAUAAUUAUGUGCAAAUAGCUUUUUACCCAGUUCUGGAUUCUACUAACAAUAUCUGACUAAUAUCUAACAAUACUAAUGUCUGCUAACAGUCGGAUGAUUACUAACCUUUACUCUGAAUGCUGAUGGCUGGCUUUGUUCUUUCUAACCCACUGACUAACCCUCUGCUUUAUGCCCGCAGUCCGAUGCACACACUCCUCUCUCAUGAUCCUGCAAUUCUUCAGUGACUAAGAUUAAUUAUUAAAGUAGAAAAUCAAUGAAAACUGUUAAAGUGAAGUCAAGAAGGGUUUCAGGACUUGGGAAGGGAAAUGCUAUUAAUCCCUAGAUGGAAAGAGGAGCAGAAUCAGCUGCUGAUAUCAAACUGGGUUGACCACAUACUUAAGAAUCCUGACAAAACCAAUUAUGAUUGAUGAAAAAAUAAUAUCACUGCACUUUGUUGCACUUCACAGGCUAAAUUCUCAUCUUCAGAGACCGUCUUUCUGUCUCUACCUGUGUGGUCAACCCUUGCAGAUGAGUGACUGGCUUGUUGUCACCACAGGCCAAGCAAACCUUAACUCCAUUACUAAUGUAUUAUGGUAUUGAUACUAACAGUGGUGAGGCUGUAAAGACCCACCUGUUGCUCUUACUAACAUCUGCGUUCCUUCUGACUGAAACAUCCUGAUGUCUGUAAUCAAAUUAUUCCGUCUCUUUAUUGCUUCUUUGAUUAAAUCAAAGCAUACCUUGUGGCACUAGUUAUGCUUAUUGUAUUACAGUACAUGGGAGAUUUUAUCCAAAACAUCUUCUAGUGCCAUGAGUGUGUAUGCUUUUUAGAAAUGGGCACUGUGGCCUGUAGCUCUAACCGUGUCAAUGACAUGCUCAACAGAAAUCCGUAUAAACAAGCUACUAACAUCUACUAAAGUUAGGUACUAACCAAAGAGCUUUUAUUAGCUCGCUGCAAACUAACAAACUAACCCACUAAUAAACUAAUAAUCUAACAAAAACUAACUAAAAUCACUAACUUUGUGCUGAGUGGCAGAAUUAGUGAAGCACCCUGUUUUGAGGAGUUGCAUCACUUAUUGAAUGUACUAACAGAAUUUAGUUUUUUAGGAAUGACUUAUUGAUGUGUCUGUCUGUGUAUGUGUGUGAGAUAAAAAGCAAAAAGAGAGAGAGAGAGAGAGAGAGUGUUUGUGUGUGUGUGUGUGUGUUUGUUCCCCCAAACAAUAACGUUUAACAUAUCAAUGCAUAUUAUAUUUAUAGAGUACUUUUAACCAAAUGCAUCCACAGUAACUGACUACUCUGGUAUUACUCCUGAGCACCAGGAUACACUCCUUAAACCUUUUAAACAAUAUACUGUGUGAAGUAUCAAGGAUGUAAAGUAAAUCAAUUCAAUGUGCACAACAAGUUUUUCACUUUAUCGCUAAUUUAUUAAUUGUCC